GCUCCACCUGUGGCAUAUGGAAGUUCCCAGGCUAGGAGCCCAAUCAGAGCUACAGCUGCCAGCCUACACCGCAGCCACAGCGACUCAGGAUCUGAGCUGUGUCUGCGACCUACACCACAGCUCAUGGCAAUGCCGGAUCCUUUAACCCAAUGAGCAAGGGCAGGGACCGAACCCUCAACCUCAUGGUUGGACUUGUUACCGCUGAGUCACAACAGAAAUUUCCUUUUCAAAUUUUUUUUAAUGAAGUAUAGUUGAUUUAGAGUAUUGUAUUAGUUUCAGGUGUACAGCAAAGUGACUCAGUUAUAUUUUUUCAGGCUAUUUUCCAUUAUAAUUAUUGCAAGAGGUUGAAUAUUGUUCGCUGUGUUUAUAGCAAAUCUUUGUGGAUCAUCUACUUUAUACAUAUACAUAAAUUCGUUUUAAAGUCGCCCCUGCAGAAGUACUUACGAAACUGUCUUAAAGUGUGCCCUCACUUGGAGGGUAUUAUAUGCUAAAUGAAAUAAGUCAGAUACUGUGUAAUAUCACUUAUAUGUGGAAUCUGAAAAAUACAGCAAAGCAGUGAAUGUGACAAAAAAGAAGCAGCCUCACAGAAGACAACCUAGUGGUUACCAAUGGGGCGAGGAGCACGAAAUACAGGGGUGGGGAAAUAAGAGAUUCAAACUAUUAGGUAUAAAAUAAGCUGUAAGGAUAUGUUGUACACCACUGAGAAUAUAGCCCAUAUCUUACGAUAACUAUAAAUGGAGGAGAAGCUUUAAAAGUUGUGCAUCAGGGAGUUCCCACUGCGGCUCAGUAGAAAUGAAUCUCAUUAGCAUCCAUGAAGAUGUGAUUUCAAUCCUUGGCCUCGCUCGGUGGGUUAAGGCUCUGGUAUUGCCAUGAGCCGAGGCGUAGGCUGGCCGCCACAGCUCCAAUUCAGCCCCUAGCCUGGGAACUUCCAUAUGCUGCAGGUGCAGCUCUAAAAAGAAAAAAAAAAAAAAAUGAAAAGCCUUCUCUAAAACUCCAGAGUAAAAUAGAAAAAAAAAAAAAAUAUAUGCCCACUCUGUACUUCGGGUGUUGGCACUUCACAGAGAGAUGCCACUCCAGGCAGCUUAAUACACAUUGAUUUCACCACAUAUGCCAAGUGAAAUAACACUCUUGCUGGUGGUAUUUGUGUGGUUAUUUUGAGACUAUUGUAUGUAUCUUAUGGGAUAAAGCCCAUGAUGAACUAUUGAGAACUGGGAUUUGGAGGAUGGAAGAACAUUCCAGAAGUAAGAUAAGGUUAGGAGUUCCUACUGUGGUGCAAUGGGAUCAGCAGUGUCUCUGGAAUGCUGGGACAAAAGUUUGAUCCCUAGCUCUGCAUAGUGGGUUAAGGAUCCUGUGUUGCUGCUCAGAUCUGUUCCCUGGCCCAGGAACUCCAACUGCCUCAGGAUAGGCAAAAAAGAAGAAAAAUAAUAAUAAUAAGGUAAGGUUAAAUAAAAAUCCUGGAGUCCUGAUUUCGAAUCGAAGUGAAAGUACGAAUUUAUGAUUCUUUUAUCUUUUAAAAUAAAUACGCAUUUCCUGACCGCCUCACUAGCAACGAAUAUCCCUAGUGCCAUACUAUGGUCCUCAAAAUCCAUAACCCACUGAAAAGAACCAAAGCACCUUAAAAAAUUCUAAGUCUUGGAGUUCCCGUCGUGGCGCAGUGGUUAACGAAUCCAACUAGGAACCAUGAGGUUGCGGGUUCGGUCCCUGCCCUUGCUCAGUGGGUUGACGAUCCAGCGUUGCCAUGAGCUGUGGUAUAGGUUGCAGAUGCGGCUCAGAUCCCGUGUUGCUGUGGCUCUGGCAUAGGCUGGCAGCUACAGCUCGGAUUCGACCCCUAGCCUGGGAACCUCCAUAUGCCGCGGGAGCGGCCCAAAGAAAUGGCAAAAAGACCAAAAAAAAAAAAAAAUUCUAAAAAGACAAGGAAACGCAAGAGUUCACGUCAUGGUUCAGUGGUUAACAAACCUGACUAGUAUCUGUGAGGACUCGAGUUCGAUCCUUGGCCUUACCCAAUGAGUCAAGGAUGCGGCGUUGCCAUGACCUGUGGUGUAGGUCACAGAUGCGGCUCAGAUCCUGCAUUGCUGUGGCUGUGGCGGAGGCAGGCAGCUCCAGCUCCAACUCGACCCCUAGCCUGGAAACCUCUAUAUGCUGUGGGUAUGGCCCUAAAAGACAAAAAAAAAAAAAGAAGAAGAAGAAAAGCAAGCAAACUAUAAAGAAUGUAUAUCAGAGGCUCAGGAAAUAAAAGUGGUUCUUACUGGCCAAAGCUGGAGCAAUUUGAGGAUCAAUAAAAGUUUGUAACUCAAAACUUAGCAAAUAUACAGACAUCAGAAAGUGCAUAAGAAUACCUAAAAAACAAAACAACUCAGUGAGGAGUCAGUCGCCUGUAGAGGAUGCUGGGGAAUCAGCACACUAUUUCAAAAACUGGGAGUUCCCUGAUAGCUCAAUGGGUUAAAGAUCCAGUGUGGUCACUGCCGUGGCUCCAGCCGCUGCUUUGGUGAGCGUUCACUCCCUGGCCCCGGAACUUCCGCAUACUGCACACACGGCCAAAAAAACCAACCAGCCAACCAAAACUAGUAAACAAAGGAACAGAAACAGUUCCGUUUAUCUUUCCUAUGCUCAGUGUAACAGAAUAGUUUGUGAGAAGGGAAGACGCCCUUGGUAAAGGCAUUCCUGUCAAUAAGGACGAGGCGAUGAUAGGGUGCGGCUCUCACGAUUUUGGAUCCCCUGAUGGAUUCGUGGGUUCGAGCGACGAUCAUCACAAAAGGGAAGCCACCUGACGCCUCGUGACUCCCGACCGGCCUGCACACCUCCACCAAGGAGGGCUGCUGCCCCAAACCAGACCUAGAUCAGACCAAACAUUUAGACCAAUUCAAAAUACAUAUGGGGGCAGGGGGGCCUGGCAGACAACACCUCAGGGAUGUCAUCAGCGACAUCAGACUGUGGCGAACUCUACAGCAGCAACGACCGCGUUGCCACAACAAAUAAAGUGAACGUGAAACAAACAAAAGAGAUGAGGAUGGGAACUUGUAUGGUUCAAGGAGACUAUGAGGAAGAACUCCACAGCUGAAAACAACCCCAUUCAAAAGCAGACGAAGGACCUCAGGAAACAUUUCCCCAAAGAAGAUAUGCACAUGGCCAAUAAGCACCGGAAGCGACGAUCAAGUGGGGAAUAAAAAUCAAAGCCACCACGAAGAUAUAGCUACUACC
rnacentral:lncRNA from 1 species